rnacentral:rRNA from 1 species
UACGGAGGGGGCUAGCGUUGUUCGGAAUUACUGGGCGUAAAGCGUACGUAGGCGGCUUUGUAAGUUAGAGGUGAAAGCCCGGGGCUCAACUCCGGAAUUGCCUUUAAGACUGCAUCGCUUGAAUCAUGGAGAGGUGAGUGGAAUUCCGAGUGUAGAGGUGAAAUUCGUAGAUAUUCGGAAGAACACCAGUGGCGAAGGCGGCAUCCUGGACCGGUAUUGACGCUGAGGCGCGAAAGCCAGGGGAGCAAACGGG